rnacentral:piRNA from 1 species
UCAUUGGUGUCUUGUGCUUGAUGGUCACCU